rfam:Triticum aestivum genome assembly, contig: Triticum_aestivum_CS42_TGACv1_scaffold_435748_5DL
AAUGCUUCAAUGGAAAAUGUUAUGUGUUUGUUCCUGUUAACAGUUUGGUCAUCCUGUAGAGGGAAGCAUAGAUUAAUCGGAAACACUGGCCAGCAUUAAACAGCACGACGCAUUACCAAACUGCGUCGUGUUACCUGUCUUCUGGCACAUUU